UACAGAGGAGCCAAGCGUUGUCCGGAUUGACUGGGCGUAAAGCGCACGCAGGCGGGGGGGCGCGUGGGGGGUGAAAUCUGGCCGCUUAACGGCCAGGCGCCAUCCCAUACGGCACGCCUGGAGCCUUGCAGAGGUCGGUGGAAUUGCCGGUGUAGUGGUGAAAUGCGUAGAGAUGUGGAGGAACACCAGUGGCGAAGGCGACUCUUUGGUCUGUAACUGACGCUGAGGCGCGAAAGCGUGGGGAGCAAACAGG
rnacentral:rRNA from 1 species